ACAGCACGGAGCCCUGGGGGCAGCGGGGAGGUGGGCUCGGCCCGACCCGGCCCUGCCCUGCUCCGCGGCUGUCGGAACAUAACAAUGCUGAAGCAAGUUUGCUUCAUGAUUAUCCUCGGGGGGCACAUCUGGGGAUUUGGGGCUACUUGAAGUUCUCCCGAGAUGGACUAUAACAUUCCCUGCUGCCCCAGGGGUGCAGCGUUAGUACUUUGCCAGCAGCAUUAUCAGUGCCACUGUAGCAGUCACAUCCCAGUGUCAGUGUCAGUGCACAGGGACACCCCCAGCACAUCAGGUGCUAAGAGCCCCCCAGCCUGGCGCUGGGUGUCUGCAGGGAUGGGGGCACCACCACCUCUCUGGGCGCCCUGUGCCAGUGCCUCGCUGCCCUUAGUGUACAAAACUUCUUAUAUCCAACCUAAAUCUGCCCUCUCCUAGUUUGAAACCAUUUCCCCUCAUCCUAUCACGACAGACCCUGAUAAACAGUCUGUCUCCUCCUUUCUUACAGCCCCUUUAGAUACUUCAGUGGCAGGCCACUCACAGGUUUCCUCAGAGCCUUCUCCAGGCUAAAUAGCCCAAACACUUUCUCCCCUUGGCAGCUGUUCUUCUCCGGGAUUCCCAAGGAAAAGCCCUGUGCUGGCAGUUACUCAUUCUCCCUGAAGAGGACAGCACAAAACAAGGCUGUAAGAGGUGGGCACGCGUCACAAAAGAUUACCGAGAGUGAUUUAAUACCAGAUGAAAACAUAACCCAUAAUAGAAUCGAAUUUCCUCUUGUUCCACCUUCAUCUUGCUGUCAAGCUGUUGUAUCGCAUGCUGCAGGCACAUCGCCAGAGACACCGCAUUGCUCCGUGCAGGACUGAUGGAUGGAGCAGCCUCGCUGUGGAUCAUCUGCCUGCCCAUGGCUGUGUGCCUGCAGUCUGCGAGAAGAAAACAACAGCAGGUGUUGCUGCAAAAGAGAUGAGACUGUGCUAGAGAGCUCCCAAGCGGGCAAACAACAGGGCUUUGUGCUGAUCCCUGCCUGAGGAGGAGAGAGAACGACUGUGACAGCAAGCAGCAAGGCAAGUAGUGGCUGCACACAUCCAUGCAGAACAGAGGUCUUCUUAUGAAACCACAUGGUUAGAAAUGGUGUUUAAUUACAACACCAUUAAUUAGGCUACACUGCACUGCUGAGGCAUGACCGCAGUGGUUUAGGUGCAGCCACCCCCUUUUAUCCUCUUACUACCCUGUGUUUUCCUAUACUUGCCCCUUCUCAGACCAUCCCGAUCUCUCCCUUCCCCAGCCUUUGGUUCCUCCCUAGGCAUCCCAUACAAAGUUUUGCACAGUGCCCAUAUAUUUCUCCCUUGCAUCCCAUGAGGAGUCUCCUACCUCUCUGCUUACUUGGUGCCACCCCCAGUCCAUGAGAUAGGUGGGUGUCCUCUGACAACCCUGAGAGGAACCACGUCAGGGACUCCUGACUGGUUGACUGGGGCAGAAAAGAUCCUGCUCUGUUGCCCCGCGCUGGAAUGCCAUGGAUGAUUUACUGCUCCAGAGGUCUGCGACAGAAACACAACACUGGUGUGCGUGGCAUGUAAAAGAGAGAAGUAAACAGGCCUAAAUCAGCCAUGAGUCCCAGAAAGGACCUAGAAAACAGCAAAAGUGCUAGGAGCCACCAGGGCACAAGGCCACAACACAGACGUGCAGAUACAGAUUGAUACAACUCAGACUAGACAUCAGCUACUUGUCACUGGUGUACCAAACCUUGGAAACGAAGUGGAAAGGGGGAUUUGUGUGAGGAGAAACUGGUGUCCACCAAGAAAGCUGUCCAACUCAGCAGAUUCCCAAGCCCAUGUACAGGGGAAGUCAGUGAGCUCUGUGAAGCAUGAGGCUGGGGGGAAGGCUGCAAAGGGACGCAGUGGCUGUGGGGAAUCCAGAAUGCAGUCCAGCAGAGUAGGGCUUCGUAGACAACACUAAAUUGAAAGCCACGACCUCAAAUAUGUUCUACUUUCAUAUAAAGCUUCUUCGAUCCUGCUGGCCUGUCAGAGUCAGUGUAUAAGGGAUCGGCAACGUAUGUUCUCAUGCUUGCAGAAGUUAUACUUGUCCAAAGCAAUUCAACUUUGGAUGUAUACAGGUGCUUGACAGUGUCCUGAUCAGACUUGCUGCUCUUCCACUCAAGUCCCACUGAAAUGCUUAUCUUAGCUCAGAUCUCAGGACAGUGUUUUGGAAGGGGUCCUACAUCAUUUCACAUGUAGGCACUGCAGUUUAUUUGCUUUUUGCAGAUUGCUAUCACAGGUGAUUGUACUGUCAAGCAUGCAAAUAGCUGAAACUGUGACAGAGGAUACUUGGUCUUGGCAAAUGCAGAGAUGGAACUCAGAGAGCCUCUGAAUUUGGUACUAGGAAAUAUGGGGAGAAUUGUCUCAGAGACUGAAGAUCCCAACUGACCAAAAGAUCUCACCUUGACUGAGCAGUAAAAUAGCAGGCAAAAGUGAAUAGUGAGUGUAACACAGUCAGCAGGGGAAGCAACAACAUUCCUUUUCCACAUGCAACAGCAGAGUCACAGGAGAGCAGCAAGAAUGAUCAGAGGCCAGGACAGCUGCCACAUGGAGAAUAACUCCUCCGUCUGGAAGGAACAGGGGUAUACACAGCCCUGAGGGGCAGGGAAUGAGUGUCUUUCAAAAUAAUUCCAGGGGCCUCAAGAGAAGUUAGAAGAUGGUAAACUCAGUAAAAUGGAGGUGCUUGCUCAUGCCCCUUGGCAUUAGGCUGCUUCCACUCACUGAUGCUGCUGCUGUGUGCCAGCAGAAGUUGAAAAAAAAAAAAAAAACAUAGGA
ensembl:lncRNA